AGCUCCUCGGGAGCGCGUUUUGCCGCUUUGCUGAUUCUCCGCUCGUUCUUCCCGAGCUCUCUCUCUCUCUCUCUCUCUCUCUCUCUGCCUUUCGCCGCAAGCUGGUCGGUAUCAAAAGCGGCACGCUCCAAGAACCCUCUCUCGGCCGCCACGCACUCGAAUACCGCGCAAACGCCUGGUACUUACUUACUCGGGAAAUGGGGUACGCGAGAAGAGAGAGAGAGAGCUACUUGCCGAUAUCAAUAAUCACGCAAUCCUUCAAAACGCGAAUCGGUAAACGUCAGUUCCGCCCGCGGAAUUCCAUCCCGUUUGCAGUGCGCGAUAAUGUAUGACAGGCAAUGGAUCAUGAUAUCACAUCUAUCAAUCUUAUUCUUAUGCCGUCAACUUGAUGCACGUAUACAAUUGUUCAUCUCCUGUAUAUUAUAGAUCCAUUAUCUUAAAUUAAAAUGAAAGAUAAUCUGUCACUUACCAAUACGAUGUACAUCAGCGGAAUUGGAAGAGCCGUGUUGCAAAUCGCUUUGAACUGCAAAAUAUAAAAAUUAUAUUCAAAUUAAAAUAAUACCAAAAAUAAUAGAUAUUAAAAAAACAACUAUUGCAUUAAAUUAUUAUUAAUAAUUUCUUUGUACAAUUAAUAAAUAAAAUAAUAAAUAAUAAAUAUAAAAAGAAAAUAUUACUGAUAUGUGAAAAUAAAACUAAUUAAAAAUAGGCCAAGCUUAUUCGGUCAUAGCUAAAUUUUUUCGUGCUAAUAUUUCUUGUAUGAUUUUUUAUAUGUGAUUUUAUAUAUUACUUCAGGUUUAUCAAACUAAACGCCGAAUAAAUUUUUGGUCUUGAAAUAUAGUUAUAAGUUAAACAAAAAUUAUAAUAUUGCGCGAUAUUAAAUUAAUAAUCAAUGUCAUAAUAAUAAUGUGUGUGUUUUAACAAGCGUUCUUUCCUCACCCUAAUUCCUUCCCUAAAUAUUGUAAAUUUAUUGCGAUAACACCACAGCCAGGGAUUGAAACAAAAAUCUUCCCGGACGAGUGUCUUAGCACUUUAAUCAUUGAGAUACAUUAAUAAUGUUUAAAACGCUAAUUAAAGGCGCAUGUCAUAAUAACAAUAAUUAUUAUUAUUAUAAAAUAAUAAAUUUAUUUACUCAUGCUUUGCCGUUGCCUAAUCUCCCAAAUCUUUUCCAGCUCUCAGGUUUCCUUGCUGGAUCGCAAAAUUUAUUCAUUCAUGAAAACACGGUCAACGCGCUGACCUUACUAUCACGCGCACACUAGCAUUAAUAAACAAAAUACGAUGAUGUUCACGUGAUAAUGUAAACGGGACUCUCGAUGUCAAUCAUCGACGACGCGCACAUACUUCAUUGUGACAGAAGAGAAUAAGAGAGAGGUACGAUUGCACGAAGCUGCGAUACGCGUUGAAUUAUUUGAAUUACUGCUUUUUAAAUCGUUUAUUGGUUCAAAGUUAAUAUAAGACGUUUUAUUGUAAAAAUUAAAUAAUUGAAGGUUAAUUAUUGCUAACUAUUUGCAAGGAGAAAUCACGUUUUCUUCUAACAAUUACUCUUAUCUCAAGCUUUCGUUUUGAAAGAACUAAUGACAAAAUACAGAUCGAGCGGCUCGCGAUGUUAUUUGCCAACUUUUAUUGUGCGAAUAUAAACAAGAUAAAUACACCGAAGUUAAUUAGGAUUAAACCGA